rnacentral:snRNA from 1 species
AUACCUUUCUCGACCUUUUGUUGCUAAGAUCAAGUGUAGUAUUUGUUCUUAUCAGUUUAAUAUCUUAUAUGUGCGUAAUUGACCCAUACGAUAUUAAAUCUAUUAUAUGAGGGGGUAGGUCCAUUGGCCUGGAACACCCCACCAAUUAUAGUGCUAAAUUUAUAUAAUUUCAUUUGAUAUGUAAUAAGGUUC